ACAUAUAUGGGGGGAGGAAGGUUGUUACUCAGACAGCUUUAAGCAAACCCUACAGAAAGGUUGAAAUUUUUACGACAAACCAAUUAUGUAUUUCACAUCUUUGGUUAUAAAUCUAUGAAAGAGACUGAAGUUUGAAAGAAAUUCUUUAGUAUAUAAAAACUUUCUUUAAAAAAUCGACAACUGUCACCUUCCUCCCCAGCCAGCUGUAAUAUAGUGUGGUCCAACAGCUGAUUACUGGGUUCCGAAAUCCGAAGUGGCAGUCCAACCCCGCUCAUCUAGGGGUAUGCUGUGGACCAUAAUAACCAUCAUAAUGGAGUCAAGUUUCCUAAAUACUGGUCCAUUUUAGUAAUUUUCCAUCCUCGACAGUCAGCACGUCUUAGAUAAUUGUUCCAUCUUCUACUACAGAUGUAUUAUUGGCUGAGAGAAAAUAAUGAGUGUCAAUUUUGUGACUAAAAAGCUAGAGGGACAAUCACUUGGUGAACAAUUUAACGACAUUGUUGAAAAAGUACAAGAAGACAGUGGCACAGAAUCAGACGAAGAUAUUGAGCUAACUGAAAGGGAGAGCGAUAACGUUGACAGCGGUAUAUCACUGAACCUGCGUUCAGCUGCGAGACUAGGAGGUCGAAGUAGACAGUUGACGCCACUAGUUAAGGAACCUGUUGCAGUUGUUUUCUCAGAGACAAUGAUUGUAGGGGAAGAUAAUGACAACCACUCCAGUGAGGAGGAGCUGGAAGAUAUUAUUGGCUCUGCACGGAAGAAGGUUUAUGUAAACGGAACUGUUCCUACAGCCGCGAAAACUGCACCUGGUCGUAUGAGUGCCGUAGAGAAGCGGAAAUGGAGUGAAGUAGAGCAAGGUGCCAGAGCUGGUUCUGGUAGUUCUGCAGAUGAGGAGGUGAGUGAGUUGAUGGAGGGUGUUUACACCCCUGUACAGUUCUGCACAUCCCCUCCCCUCAACGUUUACAAGCCUCGGCGGUCUCAAAGCCCGCCACCAAAACUUUUCCAUAUGGCGCCCUCAGGGGUGGAUCAAGAACAGGCGCUUGGAACAGAACAGCGACCUGCAAAUCAGACAAAUUUGAGAGAGGGGCAGAGAUCAUCUGGAGCAUUCCGUCCUCGUGUUCGAGGUUCAGGAGUUCUUGUGCUCCGAGGACAAGAGGAGGAUGAGGAGGGGGAGGAGAGGUCACCUAACAAGCGACACAGAACAACACCAAGACCUCAUAACAUUCCUAGGCCAAGUUUGGACUUCGAAAAAAUGCAGCAGAUUAAAACAAAAGUUGUUACGUCUUGGAGACAGGGGGCGGAACUAUCUCUAUUCUGCUGGUAGCUCGAAACAUCUACCAAGCAGUUAUGUAAUAAAACGAUUUAACGUAGUAUGUGCUGCUUGUCCCUACCAGCGUACAAGCAGGUCUCUCAAUUGUUGUCAACUGCCAGUUAAAGACUGUAGUUAAAAGUUUUUACAGUGUAAGGUUCUAUCUACCUUGUCCUAACACUGGGUACAGAGAUCUUCCGUUUAAAAGAAGUAAAACACUUAUUUGCAAAAUUUCAAUUUAUCAAAUUGUAAUGCGCGCAUGUUAAAGUUAAGAUAAGAAAUUUAGGUUGUAUAUAUGAAGAUUUAAAAAUAUGUUCAUAAAUCUCUGAACAGGAGCACUUACCGAUCGAAAUAUUAAAAAAAAUAACUAGUUAUGAGAUCUCUGUACAGUGUACCCUCUUCAACUGAUCUGGAAACUAAGAAUUGUGAUGAAAUACCACCUCCGCCAAGAUUUAACCUUCCCCCUCCUUAGAUAUUUUUUAAUCGAAGGGUUACUCAACCCCCCCAUUUAAAGAUGUUGUGCCUCCAUUUCUAAACUAUCUAAUUUUAAAAUGUAAGGCAAAAUUGCCCUCCCCUUGACUGUAGUCAUCUUUGGCUAAAGGCGGUAUUCUGCAGGUCUGUUGACACAAACCAUUGUCUUUCCUUUCACAUUCUUCAAUUUAGAGACUGUUUCAAUGUAAAAAUUUUAAUAAAUAUGUAUAAAGGGACCCUCCGCUGGCAUUGAAUUCGAAAAUGGCCUUUUAUCUGGUAUUGAUCACGCAUAUAAUUUUCCCAUAAAAACGGAAACAAAUUUAUUAAAUCUUUGCGUAUUGUCCCUUUAUGUAAGGGUUUUGAUCAUUUAUUAUUCUCCCGUGCUCACAUUGUAUGAUGUUCGUUAGGAGACACAUUUAAUGUUCAGCUCUAAAUUACCUCGUUUAUUUAAACCUACUGUAAAAAAAAAAAAACUAUGUAAUUGUCCGAAUUUUCUUCUGAUCAUUAAGGAAAUAUACCGGCCGAUAAUUGUGAAGAAAUUAUAACAUUAAAUGUCUGGGUGAGGGCUAUUUUUAUUUCAUCUAUUUGUUCAGUAUUUCAUAUUUUGAAACCUUACCUUUUACAUAUAUAUAAAUUCAUGCAUUUUAUCAAGUAUUCAAGCACUGAGCUGAGGUUUCAACAAAGAUUGAUUAAGAUUUUAAUACCCCCUUGAAUAGAAGAAAUUAAGCAUUCUAAGUUUCGCUAGUUGGCGAUGAAAUGUUUUUUUAUUCUAUAAUAAACGAAUGUACACUAUA
rnacentral:misc_RNA from 1 species